UACCAGUCUCCUAGUGGUGAGGAAG
rnacentral:misc_RNA from 1 species